rnacentral:rRNA from 1 species
GACGAACGCUGGCGGCGUGCUUAGCACAUGCAAGUCGAACGGAAAGGCCCUGCUUUUGUGGGGUGCUCGAGUGGCGAACGGGUGAGUAACACGUGAGUAACCUGCCCUUGAUUUUGGGAUAACUUCAGGAAACUGGGGCUAAUACCGGAUAGGAGCUCCUGCUGCAUGGUGGGGGUUGGAAAGUUUCGGCGGUUGGGGAUGGACUCGCGGCUUAUCAGCUUGUUGGUGGGGUAGUGGCUUACCAAGGCUUUGACGGGUAGCCGGCCUGAGAGGGUGACCGGCCACAUUGGGACUGAGAUACGGCCCAGACUCCUACGGGAGGCAGCAGUGGGGAAUAUUGCACAAUGGGCGGAAGCCUGAUGCAGCAACGCCGCGUGCGGGAUGACGGCCUUCGGGUUGUAAACCGCUUUCGCCUGUGACGAAGCGUGAGUGACGGUAAUGGGUAAAGAAGCACCGGCUAACUACGUG